rnacentral:rRNA from 1 species
CCUACGGGAGGCAGCAGUGGGGAAUAUUGCACAAUGGGGGAAACCCUGAUGCAGCGACGCCGCGUGAGUGAAGACGUAUUUCGGUAUGUAAAGCUCUAUCAGCAGGGAAGAAAUAUCGACCUUUGGGUCGCCAGACGGUACCUGAUUAAGAAGACCCGGCUAACUACGUGCCAGCAGCCGCGGUAAUACGUAGGGGGCAAGCGUUUUCCGGAUUUACUGGGUGUAAAGGGAGCGUAGACGGCAGCGCAAGUCUGAAGUGAAAUGCCGGGGCUUAACCCCGGAACUGCUAUGGAAACUGUGGAGCUAGAGUGCAGGAGAGGUAAGUGGAAUUCCUAGUGUAGCGGUGAAAUGCGUAGAUAUUAGGAGGAACUCCAGUGGCGAAGGCGGCUUACUGGACUGUAACUGACGUUGAGGCUCGAAAGCGUGGGGAGCAAACAGGAUUAGAUACCCUUGUAGUC